rnacentral:rRNA from 1 species
UGCCGCGUGCAGGAAGAAUGCCCUAUGGGUAGUAAACUGCUUUUAUACGGGAAGAAAAAGAGCUACGUGUAGCUUACUGACGGUACCGUAAGAAUAAGGACCGGCUAACUCCGUGCCAGCAGCCGCGGUAAUACGGAGGGUCCGAGCGUUAUCCGGAAUUAUUGGGUUUAAAGGGUCCGUAGGCGGGCGAUUAAGUCAGUGGUGAAAGUCUGCAGCUCAACUGUAGAAUUGCCUUUGAUACUGGUCGUCUUGAGUUAUAGUGAAGUUGCCGGAAUAUGUAGUGUAGCGGUGAAAUGCAUAGAUAUUACAUAGAACACCGAUUGCGAAGGCAGGUGACUAACUAUAUACUGACGCUGAUGGACGAAAGCGUGGGGAGCGAACAGGAUUAGAUACCCUGGUAGUCCACGCCGUAAACGAUGGAUACUAGCUGUCCGGGACCUUGAGUCCUGGGCGGCCAAGCGAAAGUGAUAAGUAUCCCACCUGGGGAGUACGUUCGCAAGAAUGAAACUCAAAGGAAUUGACGGGGGCCCGCACAAGCGGUGGAGCAUGUGGUUUAAUUCGAUGAUACGCGAGGAACCUUACCAGGGCUUAAAUGCAUAUUGACAGGGGUAGAGAUACCUUUUCCUUCGGGCAAUUUGCAAGGUGCUGCAUGGUUGUCGUCAGCUCGUGCCGUGAGGUGUCAGGUUAAGUCCUAUAACGAGCGCAACCCCUACCGUUAGUUGCCAGCAUGUCAUGAUGGGGACUCUAACGGGACUGCCGGUGCAAACCGUGAGGAAGGUGGGGAUGACGUCAAAUCAUCACGGCCCUUACGUCCUGGGCCACACACGUGCUACAAUGGCAGGUACAGAGAGCAGCCACGUCGCAAGGCGGAGCGAAUCUAUAAAACCUGUCACAGUUCGGAUCGGGGUCUGCAACUCGACCCCGUGAAGCUGGAAUCGCUAGUAAUCGGAUAUCAGCCAUGAUCCGGUGAAUACGUUCCCGGGCCUUGUACACACCGCCCGUCAAGCCAUGGAAGCCGGGAGUGCUGAAGUCCGUCACCGUA